UUUGAAAUUUCCACCCCUCAGUGGCAGCAUGCUGCAUUCCCAUUCUAUGUCACUUGGGACUUAAAUGUACUAGCAUGUAUUCUUUGUGUCAGGGGUUACAGUGUUUGUUUUUAUGACUAAUAAUGUGGACCUUGGGAGCCACAUAUCAAAGCGCCAUUGAGGAAAUAUCUAAACCUCUGUUAAAGUGUAAUCCCUUUCAAGGCAUGUCCAUACAGGAGAGCAAAGACAUCUGAAAGCUCUCAACUGCCCAUGCUCCAAGCUGCCUUGGAAGCAAGCCUGUUCCAGCGUAGAAGUCCUUUAACUUCUGUGCCUCCACUAAUGGCCCCUGUGACAUUCUCCUGAAGGGGCUGUGUGACACAGUGGCAGAAGAAGCCUGUUCUCUUCCAUUGUCUGGCUCAAGAAUGGCAAACUGCUGAGUGGUGAGAGUAUUUAGCCCUGAUAGAGCACAAAAUAUCAAAGGUCUCGAAUUUGCUCAGCUUCUGCCAUCUCAGAUACAAUUCUCUAUACCCCCACUCUGCCAUAUAGUUACCAGAGCUUUGGAAGGAUAAAGUUAUUAUUUAGCACAAGUUUUUAUUUUUAAUCUUAGUAGAGAUGGAGUGCACACAAAUUCAUACUGAAAUCAAAGAUUUCAUAUUUCCGAAAGGGACAAUAUAGAUUUAUGGCUGGCUAAGUGCUGAACACCUCUAAAAUCUCACUGUGAAUACUGAAACUUUUGUCUGAUGUGCUACUACACAAAUCCCUUAGCCCUGUGGCAGCUCCUUUUCUGGUUAAUGAGGAUUAUGCUUCCCAACUUCCCAUGGAUUCAUUAUUGUUUUUACAGUUACUGAACAGUUACCAUUUUUGCUCUGGCUUGAAGCUUUUUAAAUAAGUCAUCAGGGCAGCUGUACUGCAAGACCAAGACAGGGAGCUGCAUAAGUGGAAGGAGGUUUGAAGGAUUUAGCCUUGGAACCAGAUUUUAAAUGGAUAUUUUCUGACUAAGGUAUCAAGCACGUCUCAGAUUCAUAUGGCCAAGUGGUGCCAAAGCUGAUGUUCUUUGGUGUCCCAAGGAACAGGGCUAGAGUCUCACAGCUAUGUUGCUUUUUCAGAUAAGAAAGUAGGGGAGAAAAAAAAAUAACAGAUGAAGCAAUACAAAAGGGUUAAGAAGUAUUUGUUAAAGCUAAAACCUGUUAGAUGCCACAGCUUAGAUGUUAUGCUGUGUUAGGACAAGAAACAGAAAAAUAAUAACUUAUUGGCGCAGCAGGAAAAUAUGCAAUUGAUCUGUUUGAUCAUUCUUACAAAAUAAUGCUUCUUUUUACUGCUUGACAGAGUAUCUACACAGGAGUGAUUUCAAAAUAUUUAAUUGUAGGGGAGCUUACUCUGCAGUAGCUGUUCUGGUUAAUUUCCCCUUAGAGAAAAUUUCCUUAAUGAUCAGAGCUAAAGAAAUUGAAAUGAGUGUAAUUUCAAUUGAAAAUUAAGAAUACUUUGAACUUUAUAGAUGUAACAAAUGUCUGUCACCUUAGUUGCCAAGUAGUCAGCACUGAAAAAGGCAAAUUCUGUAGAGUGGUAGUAGUAUGGAACUACUUGCUCUUACUGCAUUCAUGCAUGUUAGCAACAGUGGUGUCCAUUAUUUUCAGUAAUAAUAAUUAAAAACAAACAAACAAACAAAAAAACCUCUUUAAGUAAAUGACUUGUGUAAUGCCCAGAAAGUUGCUGGACUGUGGCUUUUGUGGUAUCCAGCAGGAGCAAGCUCUGAAAGCCAGAAUUCUCAAGAGAGGGAGAGUAUGUGAACCUUGCCUGCUGCUGCCCUUAGAAAGGUCACCCUCUGAAACUGGAAACAGUGUUUUGUCUUGACCUUUAAAUAUUACCUUUGAAUGUGAGAGAACUGGCUUUCAAAUUUCAGGCAGUCUGGGCUAAGAAAAAAAAAAAUCAACAUGAAAAUGUGAGGGUAUGAACUUGUAAUUGUUGAGCAUUUGACGCAGCCUGGCUCGAGGACACUGUAGGACGUGAGGCCCCUGGAUUGCCAGUCUGAAUUGGCUGAGAUCAGCUGGAAUCAAAAGUUAGUCUCUGACUUCAUCUGGUUGAUGUGAGAGAAAUGCAUAGGUGGCCUCAUCAAGUUCUCAGUGCAGGAACCUAACAGUAUUAGCUGGCAUCUCCUACCAAUAGUUUACUUUCCAUUCAGGCCUUAGCAAAUCUAUUCCUAUCUAGGAGCUGUCUUUCCAGCCUGACGUGCAGCAGUACAAAAAAUAUGGUAUCAGCAUUUUUGCCUUAUCUGUAGAGAUUCAAAUCCUGUUCCUGCAGUCUGGCUCCAUUGAUAUGCACUAAUACUUACAUAAAAUUAUUUAUCUGUUUAUCCCUCCUGGCAUUUCUGCUAUGAUUGCUAACAUUCAGAAACUUUAAACACAGCUGCAGUCACAGAUAUGUAACUUACAGAGAGGGCCUAGAUAAUGGAAUGGAGAGGCUCCAAGUUUGACAGUACUUGUUUUCAAAAUAAGCUGCUUCUCAACUAUUAAUUAAUCCACUUAAAGCACACUACAAUUAAAUACUUUGAUAACGUGACGUGAAAAAUAUUUGCAGAAGCUUUUAAAACAAACCCCCACGAACCUCUUUCUGCAAACAAUGUGGAGAUUUGGCACUCUCUUGUAUCCUGAUUGUUUCUGUGACCACAAGGAACAAAUGCAUCCCUGAAUUACCUGGGUUUACAUCUGAUUAUUUUGAUCAACAUGGGUAAUGGUAUCUUUACCAACCUUUGCAUUUUGUAACGCUUUGUAAUGGGGAUUUUAGCAUUCACCUGCGGUGUUGUGAAAUAACUAUUGCCCAAGGAGCUUUGAGAAACAGAGCGAGAACUGUGCCUCUGCUUAUUAUUUGAACAAAGAGCGAGAAAAAAUAUGCAGAAAGAGCCUUUGCAUGUAAAAACACUGGAAAAUAUUAUUAGCUACUUAAUUACUGCUAACUAAGAUUCAUGUUGACAGCACUGCUUUUGUGUUUCUUGGAUCCAAUCCUGGAAGCAAACGAGUAACCGCCAGCAGACAGGCACCGAAUGCUGCCCGAUGUGCUGCCCAUCGCUGGCACUGGGGCUGUGACUGCAGGGCCCGGCUGAGCGGCCUGAACUGAGGCCUGGUGGGUUUUGAAUUCCCCCACCUGAGAGGGGAGCGGUGUGUGGUGUGGGGAUGGCGGCGUGUUGGCUGUGGAAGUUUGGCUGCAGUUUGCCCUGCCUUCAGCUGGGUGCCCCACUGGCACGGGGUGGGGUGUGGGGGCCCCACGUCCCGCUUUGGAACUCCAGAAGACAACUGUUGCCUGGCCAGAAACCAGCAAAUGGAAGGGCGGAGGAUUUAGUGCUUAAGUGAAACCUCCAGCGGCCGGGAGCACAGCGGUUAUAUCACAGCCAAUGGCGUGCGCGCUGGUCACAUGGUGCUGGUGGAACCUCAGGGAAGAGAAGUUGAGUCUCGGCGAACACAGCAGCUCAGUAACGCGCCGCAGCCGGAGCGAGCGGAGCCGGGGCGGGCGGACAGGCGGCGGCCGG